UGCAGACAGACCAAAGGUGAUGAUCCCACAUCAGCAACAAGAGUCAGGAGGAAGUCUUCAGAAGCAGGAAUGCAUAGAUCCAAGAAAGAUCAUAUGUGAAGCACCAGUCUAUGCUCUGUAUCUCGCCUUCCACUUUUCAAGGCAUCACUCUGAUGAAGAUCUCCUCCUUCAGCUGUGCUCUCCAUGGCCUCUGAACAUAUAACAUAGUCCUAGCUCACCCAAAUGAAACAAACAGACAAAGAAGAUCUGCUUCAAAAUGAUGGCUCUCUCAAUGGAGAAACCUGAAAAUGGCUGACAUCCUUUAAAGAAGACAGAUUCACACACACACACACACACACACACACACACACACACGCACGCACGCACACAUUCAUGCGAUCUUUUUCACCCAUCCCCACGUCCCCACAUUAA
rnacentral:lncRNA from 1 species